GAUGAAGAACGCAGCGAAAUGCGAUAAGUAAUGUGAAUUGCAGAAUUCAGUGAAUCAUCGAAUCUUUGAACGCACAUUGCGCCCAUUAGCAUUCUAGUGGGCAUGCCUGUUCGAGCGACAUUUCAACCCUUAAGCCCUGUUGCUUAGCGUUGGGAGCCUACAGUACUGUAGCUCCCCAAAGUUAGUGGCGGAGUCGGUUUCACACUCUAGACGUAGUAAAUUUUUCUCGUCUGUAGUUGAGCCGGUCCCCUGCCGUAAAACACCCAAUUUAUCAAGGUUGACCUCGGAUCAGGUAGGAAUACCCGCUGAACUUAAGCAUAUCAAUAAGCGGAGGA
rnacentral:misc_RNA from 1 species